rnacentral:rRNA from 1 species
GCGGCCGCUCUGGUUKUUCCUGCCGGAGGUUACUGCUAUCGAGGUUCGACUAAGCCAUGCGAGUCGAAUGUAGCAAUACAUGGCGUACUGCUCAGUAAUACGUGGACAACCUACCCUUGGGACGGGGAUAAACCCGGGAAACUGGGUAUAAUACCCGAUAGUUCUGGUUUGCUGGAAUGCUUCCAGGACGAAAGCUCCGGCGACUGAGGAUGGGUCUGCGGCCUAUCAGGUAGUAGUGGGUGUAAUGUACCUACUAGCCUACGACGGGUACGGGUCGUGAGAGCGAGAGCCCGGAGAUGGAUUCUGAGACACGAAUCCAGGCCCUACGGGGUGCAGCAGGCGCGAAAACUUUACAAUGCUGGCAACAGCGAUAAGGGGACCUCGAGUGCCAGGAUACAAUCUUGGCUGUCGUAAUGCCUAAAAAGCAUUGCAUAGCAAGGGCCGGGCAAGACCGGAGCCAGCCGCCGCGGUAACACCGGCGGCUCGAGUGGUAACCGCUAUUAUUGGGUCUAAAGGGUCUGUAGCCGGCCGGAUAAGUCUCUUGGGAAAUCCAGCUGCUCAACAGUUGGGCUUUCAGGAGAUACUGUUCGGCUCGAGACCGGGAGAGGUGAGAGGUACUUCAGGGGUAGGGGGUGAAAUCUUGUAUCCUUGAAGGACCACCAGUGGCGAAGGCGUCUCACCAGAACGGAUCUGACGGCAAGGGACGAAAGCUAGGAGCACGAACCGGAUUAGAUACCCGGGUAGUCCUAGCCGUAAACGAUACUCGCUAGGUGUCAGCCACGGUGCGACCGUGGUUGGUGCCGUAGGGAAGCCGUGAAGCGAGCCACCUGGGAAGUACGGCCGCAAGGCUGAAACUUAAAGGAAUUGGCGGGGGAGCACUACAACGGGUGGAGCUGCGGUUUAAUUGGAUUCAACGCCGGGAAGCUUACCGGGAUCGACAGCGAUAUGAAGGCCAGGCUGAAGACCUUGCCGGAUUAGCUGAGAGGUGGUGCAUGGCCGUCGUCAGUUCGUACUGCGAAGCAUCCUGUUAAGUCAGGCAACGAGCGAGACCC